CCCUCACGCACCGUUACUGGAGGUGGCUUUUAACCAUCCAAUCCAAAAGAGUGAGUUCGCGCUGCGACUUGUCUCACUCUAAGCGCGCAUAAUAUAAAAAACACAAAUAAAUUGAUACUGUUUGCUCACAAACCAAGUUUGAAUGUGCCCGCGUUCCUCCAGCAAAACUGUAGUAAAUCAGCUCAAAAGGGAAAUAUUUAUGACUAAUUAU